rnacentral:rRNA from 1 species
AUUGAACGCUGGCGGCAGGCCUAACACAUGCAAGUCGAGCGAGCGGCGGAAGGGUGAGUAAUGUAUGGGGAUCUGCCCGCUAGAGGGGGAUAACUACUGGAAACGGUAGCUAAUACCGCAUAGUCUCGGAUGAACAAAUAUGGGAUUAGCUAGUGGGGGGGGAAAAGGCUCACCAAGGCACCGAGCCGUCGCUGGUUUGAGAGGACGACCAGCCACACGGGGACUGAGACACGGCCCAGACUCCUACGGGAGGCAGCAGUGGGGAAUUUCGGACAAUGGGGGAAACCCUGAUCCAGCCAUCCCGCGUGUAUGAUGAAGGCCUUCGGGUUGUAAAGUACGUUUGGCAGAGAAGCGGUAUCUGAAGAAUAAGCACCGGCUAACUACGUGCCAGCAGCCGCGGUAAUAC